rnacentral:rRNA from 1 species
UACGAAGGGGGCUAGCGUUGCUCGGAAUGACUGGGCGUAAAGCGCACGUAGGCGGAUACUUAAGUUAGGGGUGAAAUCCCGGGGCUCAACCCCGGAACUGCCUUUAAUACUGGGUAUCUCGAGUUCGAGAGAGGUGAGUGGAAUUCCGAGUGUAGAGGUGAAAUUCGUAGAUAUUCGGAGGAACACCAGUGGCGAAGGCGGCUCACUGGCUCGAUACUGACGCUGAGGUGCGAAAGCGUGGGGAGCAAACAGG